UGCAGAAGAAGAAGAGGA
rnacentral:sRNA from 1 species